GUGAAUCAUCGAAUCUUUGAACGCACCUUGCGCUCCUUGGUAUUCCGAGGAGCAUGCCUGUUUGAGUGUCAUUAAAUUCUCAAACUCUGUAUUCGUUUGUUCGACGUCGGUGAUUUGGAUGCGUGCUGGCGUCGGUCGGCUCCUCUUAAAUGCAUCAGCGGAAUCUAACGUUUCGGACGUCAGUGUGAUAAUCAUGUUGCGCUGUCUGUCUGGUCUGAAAGCCCGCUCACAAUGGUCUUCGGACAACUUCAUAUCAAAUUUGACCUCAAAUCAGGUAGGACUACCCGCUGAACUUAAGCAUAUCAAUAAGCGGAGG
rnacentral:rRNA from 1 species